AUUGAACGCUGGCGGCAGGCCUAACACAUGCAAGUCGAACGAGUGGCGGACGGGUGAGUAAUGUCUGGGAAACUGCCCGAUGGAGGGGGAUAACUACUGGAAACGGUAGCUAAUACCGCAUACCAUCGGAUGUGCCCAGAUGGGAUUAGCUAGUAGGUGGGGUAACGGCUCACCUAGGCGACGAUCCCUAGCUGGUCUGAGAGGAUGACCAGGCAAAAUGGAACUGAGACAAGGUCCAGAAUCCUACGGGGGGCAGCAGGGGGGAAUAUUUCACAAUGGGCGCAAGCCUGAUUCAGCCAUGCCGGGGGGAUUAAGAAGGCCUUCGGGUUGUAAAGUACUUUCAGCGGGGAGGCGGUACCCGCAGAAGAAGCACCGGCUAACCCCGGGCCAGCAGCCGCGGUAAUUC
rnacentral:rRNA from 1 species